GACGAACGCUGGCGGCGUACCUAAUACAUGCAAGUAGAACGCUGAAGGAGGAGCUUGCUUCUCUGGAUGAGUUGCGAACGGGUGAGUAACGCGUAGGUAACCUGCCUGGUAGCGGGGGAUAACUAUUGGAAACGAUAGCUAAUACCGCAUAAGAGUAGAUGUUGCAUGACAUUUGCUUAAAAGGUGCAAUUGCAUCACUACCAGAUGGACCUGCGUUGUAUUAGCUAGUUGGUGGGGUAACGGCUCACCAAGGCGACGAUACAUAGCCGACCUGAGAGGGGGAUCGGCCACACUGGGACUGGGACACGGCCCAGACUCCUACGGGAGGCAGCAGUAGGGAAUCUUCGGCAAUGGACGGAAGUCUGACCGAGCAACGCCGCGUGAGUGAAGAAGGUUUUCGGAUCGUAAAGCUCUGUUGUAAGAGAAGAACGAGUGUGAGAGUGGAAAGUUCACACUGUGACGGUAUCUUACCAGAAAGGGACGGCUAACUACGUG
rnacentral:rRNA from 1 species